rnacentral:lncRNA from 1 species
AUUUUAAUAAUAUUUUUUUUCGACUAUUCCAACCUUUGAAACAUCCUGUUUCCCACCAUAACCUAAUACAAAACCUGUAUUUUAAUGAUCACAAAAAGGAGAUGUGAAUAAAAAUGCACCUUAUUUAUUAAAGCAUUAGUAAAACUUGUUAAGAAAAGUGGUCACCAGAAAAUGACACGCGAAAAUAACAUUUACCCUAUAACAACGUCCAAUCAUUCAUCUGAAAUAAUUUCCAUAAAUAUCAAAGGCAUAUAAGAGGGGUGAGAUAGUUUUUCUUCUUCUAAUAAAUGCCCCUAAAACAGCCAUCUUCGCGUAAAUGAACACGAACAAUGAAAUUGUAAAAAUUUCUAAGUUACAAGUCCAGUUAUGCAAACGUAACAAAGGAACACAAACAAAAAGUAAAAGUAAAAAAACAAGAAUGAACAAUAUAAAAAAAGCCAAUUAAUUUGAACAAUUAAAUGUAACAAACAAACACCAAAAAAAUAAAUAGCGACAGUUCAACUCAAACAUUAUCAACAAACAUGAACCAACCAAAAGUACUGAUGUCAUUUAUAUCUGACAAACAAUAAAGAACCAACCAUAAAUGCUGAUACCACUUAUAUUUGACAAACAAACAAAAAAGACAAAUACAAGGCAACUGUAAUGUAACAAACGAUAAAUACAAGGCAACUCAAUGCAACAGAUGCAAACAAUAAAAAUAGGCAAUUCAAACGUAUCUAAGAAACAAACAUUACUGAUGCUGAAAUUGUAAAUGAAUUAACAUUGGGGAUACAGAUUUGGGAAACUUGUAUCCAGCCAUUUAGGAGCCAUUCGUUGUAUUACUUUAAAGAAAUUAAUAUAUACAAAGGGGAUCUCAUUACACUUGGCAGACCAUUCAAUAUCCUGUUGUUAGUAGGUAGAGAGACUAGUACAUUUUUAUCAAAUUUGCCGAGGUUGGUAAUCGUUGUCAUAAUUAGCAAGUUGUGACAAGGCAAAAAGAAGAAUAGAUUGAAAUUUUGGAUGACAAGAGAUUUGAUUAAUUCCUCCUUGUGUAUAGGUGUAUGCAUUUCAGUACGAUUUAAAGUCUGCCGUCUACGUUUUUAUUUGUACCAGGC